GUCAAGUUGAGGGCACGGAUUUAUUUGGUGGCACAUUCUGAGCCCUUUCUAAUAGACUAAACCAGCAAAAUACACGGACACUAGUCAAUGAUUAUGAAAAGGCCUUGGAUUUCAGUUUGGGCAAGACAAGGCUUAGCAUUUAAGACCUUUUCAUAGUUUUGUUAAUAGUGAACCUAGAAACUAUUUAACUCAGAGGAGUCCCUCUGCUUGCUCAAGAAUACAGCCUCAAAGGCUUAUUUUUGAGAUGCACUUCAUCACAUGUCUUACCAAUGCCAUCUUCUAUCAUGUAGCUGGAAUAAAAUAACACUGACCACAUGUGGUUUUCAAAGCACACCCAUAUUUCUUUUACCAUGGGUUAGGCAGAAGCCAGCAGGCAGAGCAAGGAUCUUAAACCAACACCAGGCUAAGAGAGGUUAAAGUGCUUGCCCAGUAUCAUGGAGUAAGGGACAAUCAGAACUGGACCUCUCGUGGGCUGACUUCUCAGUCAGAGGCAGUGUGAUCUUGAGCAAGUUACGGAGCCUCUCUCUGCACUUCAGUUUCCUCCAACGGAAGUAAUAACGGCUCCAUACCAGGGAGAACUAAAUGAGAUAAAGGUAAAAGGGUCAGCAGCUUUUGGCACUUGGGAUCAGAACUGAGCCUGAGAGGAACAGCUGGUCAGAUUUUUUCAUCUUUGGCCUAAGUCACAAACUUCCCACAUUGAUAUUUGAUUGAGAGGGCACUGGAGAUAUACUAAGGAUGAAGAGAGAGAGACUGACUGCUCCCACUGAGUGGGUGGUACUGAUGAAAAGCAAGUAGACAAUAACCAUGUGGCUUAUCAGGAAUAAUCCACUGGAGAGACUGGAAAAGAGGCAUCCUCUGUAGGCAUCUGCCAGCAUGGCAUGCAUAUUGAAAUCCCAAUUCAGGAAUGAAAAUCUGAAACCAAGCUAUCUGCUUUUGUGUACUCUGGCACUGCAUCAUUUAACAUAAUCCAAGAAUGAAAAUAUGAGCUAAGCUGUUUGCUUUUUUAAACAUUGAGCGUGUCAAUCCUGAAAUUCCACUGGACAAGCAUUUACUCUCCACAAAGAGAGAGACAGAACAUGAACAGGGGAGGGGCAGAGAGAGAGGGAGACACA